UACGUAGGGGGCAAGCGUUGUCCGGAAUCAUUGGGCGUAAAGAGCGUGUAGGCGGUUCGGUAAGUCGGCUGUGAAAGUCCAGGGCUCAACCCUGGGAUGCCGGUCGAUACUGCCGGACUAGAGUUCGGAAGAGGCGAGUGGAAUUCCCGGUGUAGCGGUGAAAUGCGCAGAUAUCGGGAGGAACACCAGUGGCGAAGGCGACUACCUGGCCUGUUCUUGACGCUGAGGCGCGAAAGCUAGGGGAGCAAACGGG
rnacentral:rRNA from 1 species